GAUGAACGCUGGCGGCGUGCCUAAUACAUGCAAGUCGAGCGAACGGACGAGAAGCUUGCUUUUCUGAUGUUAGCGGCGGACGGGUGAGUAACACGUGGAUAACCUACCUAUAAGACUGGGAUAACUUCGGGAAACCGGAGCUAAUACCGGAUAAUAUUUUGAACCGCAUGGUUCAAAAGUGAAAGACGGUCUUGCUGUCACUUAUAGAUGGAUCCGCGCUGCAUUAGCUAGUUGGUAAGGUAACGGCUUACCAAGGCAACGAUGCAUAGCCGACCUGAGAGGGUGAUCGGCCACACUGGAACUGAGACACGGUCCAGACUCCUACGGGAGGCAGCAGUAGGGAAUCUUCCGCAAUGGGCGAAAGCCUGACGGAGCAACGCCGCGUGAGUGAUGAAGGUCUUCGGAUCGUAAAACUCUGUUAUUAGGGAAGAACAUAUGUGUAUGUAACUGUGCACAUCUUGACGGUACCUAAUCAGAAAGCCACGGCUAACUACGUG
rnacentral:rRNA from 1 species